CAGCCGCCGCGGUAAUACGUAGGGUGCAAGCGUUAAUCGGAAUUACUGGGCGUAAAGCGUGCGCAGGCGGUUUCGUAAGACAGAUGUGAAAUCCCCGGGCUUAACCUGGGAACUGCAUUUGUGACUGCGAGGCUAGAGUGUGUCAGAGGGGGGUGGAAUUCCACGUGUAGCAGUGAAAUGCGUAGAUAUGUGGAGGAACACCGAUGGCGAAGGCAGCCCCCUGGGAUAACACUGACGCUCAUGCACGAAAGCGUGGGGAGCAAACAGGAUUAGAUACCCGCGUAGUCCAUGUCUCUUAUAC
rnacentral:rRNA from 1 species